AGCGAACGCUGGCGGCAGGCUUAACACAUGCAAGUCGAACGCCCCGCAAGGGGAGUGGCAGACGGGUGAGUAACACGUGGGAACGUACCCUUUGGUUCGGAAUAACUUGGGGAAACUCAAGCUAAUACCGGAUAAGCCCUUAUGGGGAAAGGUUUACUGCCGAAGGAUCGGCCCGCGUCUGGUUAGCUAGUUGGUGAGGUAAUUGCUCACCAAGGCGACGAUCAGUAGCUGGUCUGAGAGGAUGAUCAGCCACACUGGGACUGAGACACGGCCCAGACUCCGACGGGAAGCAGCAGUGGGGAAUGUUAGACAAUGGGGGCAACCCUGACCCAGCCAUGCCGCGUGAGUGAUGAAGGCCGUAGGGUUGUGAAGCGCUUUUACCCGGGACGAUGAUGACUGUACCGGGAGAAUGAGCCCCGGCUAACUUCGUGCCAGCCGCCGCGGUAA
rnacentral:rRNA from 1 species